UAAUGUGAACCUGAAUGAGACCUCAAUAUAUUUAGCUGUUGUUAUCUCGGAACCAUCUAUAAGUACAUCUUUAAAUAUAUUUCCUAUUUUCGCUGCUUGUAUGUAUUGCAUUUAUUUGCUAAAUAAUUAGUGUCCUCUUUUGCUAGAUUUUUUUUGUUUCGCUUCAUUAAUAAACGAUUUCUCAAGCAAGCCUUGUAUUUUCAGUUCUUUAAAGAGUACUUGCUUGCUUAUUUGUUGACAAAAGGUGGGGAGAGGAACUUGAGCGACUCUUGGCACAUAUAUUAAAGAUUUGUUGCAUACAGUUUUAAGGUUGUUGGGGUUCUAACAAUUUGCAUGCUUCAGGCGAUGCUGAAGCCCAACCACAAGUACAUGACUCACUUGGCUGAGGAGGCAAAAUAUUGGCCAUCAUCAUGUUCUGCGUGUCAAUUCACCGUCCUUAUCCUGCUUAUGGGAGUCUUUCAGUGUGUAGAAAUCCUGUGGACAGUUUGGUGGACGCAAAUAGGAUACACGUAAUGAUUAUAAAUACUCGAAGAUUAUAGCUACUGCAAGCUUGACAGGAAAAAGGGUUGUGAGAAAACUCUGGUGCUCAUCUACUCGCUGACUAAUCACUGAUUUACAUUGAUAUGCUUACUAUAGCAUUUUAGAAAUUAUGAAAGAUGGGUUCAUGCGAGAGAAGCUUUUUUGCCGUCAAACAUGUCUUCGUUCUCCUGAACAAUUACUAAAUAUAUUGUAUUUUGGA